UGGAAGCAUAGCUCAGCUGGCUAGAGCGACACGUUGACAUCGUGUAGGGCACUGGUUCAACUCCAGUUGUUUCCAU
rnacentral:tRNA from 1 species